rnacentral:rRNA from 1 species
GAUGAACGCUGGCGGCGUGCCUAAUACAUGCAAGUCGAGCGAACGGACGAGAAGCUUGCUUCUCUGAUGUUAGCGGCGGACGGGUGAGUAACACGUGGAUAACCUACCUAUAAGACUGGGAUAACUUCGGGAAACCGGUGCUAAUACCGGAUAAUAUUUUGAACCGCAUGGUUCAAAAGUGAAAGACGGUCUUGCUGUCACUUAUAGAUGGAUCCGCGCUGCAUUAGCUAGUUGGUAAGGUAACGGCUUACCAAGGCAACGAUGCAUAGCCGACCUGAGAGGGUGAUCGGCAACACUGGAACUGAGACACGGUCCAGACUCCUACGGGAGGCAGCAGUAGGGAAUCUUCCGCAAUGGGCGAAAGCCUGACGGAGCAACGCCGCGUGAGUGAUGAAGGUCUUCGGAUCGUAAAACUCUGUUAUUAGGGAAGAACAUAUGUGUAAGUAACUGUGCACAUCUUGACGGUACCUAAUCAGAAAGCCACGGCUAACUACGUG